rnacentral:rRNA from 1 species
GACAGAGGGGGCAAGCGUUGCUCGGAUUCAUUGGGCGUAAAGGGUGCGUAGGUGGCGCGCUAAGUCAGGUGUGAAAUUUCGGAGCUUAACUCCGAAACUGCAUUUGAUACUGGCGUGCUUGAGGACUGGAGAGGAGACUGGAAUUCACGGUGUAGCAGUGAAAUGCGUUGAUAUCGUAAGGAACACCCGUGGCGAAAGCGGCUCACUGGGUCUUCUCUGACGCUGAGGCACGAAAGCGUGGGGAGCAAACAGG